AAGUUGGCCAGGCAGUGCCCAGCUUUGCCGAGUGCCUCCACUCGGCAAAGCUGGGAUUUUGUUUUUUUUUCAGUUUUUUGUUGUAUUUUCGCUCAAGGAGUUUCGGCAGCACCUCUCCGUUGUUCUCUCGAUACACGUCCUGGUAAGGAAAGUGUGUAUCCGGAGAACAACGAGGAGAUGCUGCCAAAACACCGACUCGGACAGGAGCAGAACAUGGAAGCUAACCAUCUACGCAUCGACGGGCUAUCCAAAAAACAUAGACAAUCCGAAGCAGAUACGGCCGACGAAUAUGCACAGACACGCAUACCAA
rnacentral:lncRNA from 1 species